rnacentral:rRNA from 1 species
UAGUCAACUGUUAUUAUUCAUACUAAUUUUUUUAAAUGUUUUUUAUUUUAAUAAUAGUUUAUUUAUAGAUCAUAAAUAUAAAAUAAAGUUUAGGAAUAGUUAAUAAUAAUUUAUAAUUUUGAUUAGAUUAAUUUGUUAAUGCUAUUAUAUGGGUGUGGAAAAUAUGAAAAAUAAAUAAUAUAAUAAAAUAAUAAAUAAAAUUUAAUUAUAGGUCAGAAAUGGAUGCCAGCCGUUGCGGUAAUUUCUAUGCUUUUAAAUAUUAUACAAUAAUACUUAUGAUAUUGUUAACAUACAUUAUAACAAACAAAAAUAAAUUCAACAAUAUUUUUUGUUUUUAUACACCAUACAGGUAUAUGCAAAUACUAAAUUAUAGUAAUUAUUUAUUUUAUUAUUAUUUGUUUAUUCACAUAAGUAACAAAACAAUAAUUAUAUUUUUUGAUUUCAUGAUAAGGCGUGUGAAUGGUAUUGAAAAUAUUUUAAUCAAAACUUACAAAUUAUAUGUACUUAGUAAAAUUAGUUAAAAAAAAAAUAUGUCUAGGUAUUGUUGCCCACCAAUUUUUAAAAUGAAGAUAACGUGCAGUAAUUAAAUUAUUUAUAAAAAUAAUUUUA